AGACGGCCUGCAUGGUCAGAUUUACAAAAAAAAAAAAAAAAGCAACUGCUGCUGAGCUCGACAUGACUAUGAUUCAACUGAUUCAGAAGAUAAAUCGCUUUGUGAGCUUCAACCUUGGAAUGGUCAAGCAUAAAAGUCUGGAAAACGGUGCUACAAUGGAUCAACAUAACGUAUGUCAAUCCUACGACAUAAAUUAGCGUUCUGGAAACAAGAUCCACUUGAGGGGUUGCUCGGGCCUGUAAAUGUUGCAGUUAUUUGUAUUCAAAUCAGGACGCCAACGUCCGGUACAUGAAAGCUGGCGUCCUGUUGAUCUGUUGCGCGUAUGCGUAUCGCAACCAGGAACAGAC